GACGAACGCUGGCGGCGUGCCUAAUACAUGCAAGUCGAGCGAGUCUGCCUUGAAGAUCGGAGUGCUUGCACUCUGUGAAACAAGAUACAGGCUAGCGGCGGACGUGUGAGUAACACGGGGGUAACCUGGCCAAGAGAUCGGGAUAACCGCUGGAUACAGAUGCUAAUACGGUAUAACAACAAAUGAUGCCUAUCAACUGAUUAAUAGAUGGUUCUGCUAUCCCUCUUGGAUGUACCAGCGGUGCAUUAGCUAGUUGGUAGGGUAACGGCCUACCAAGGCGACGAUGCGUAGCCGACCUGAGAGACUGAUCGGCCACACUGGAACUGAGACACGGCCCAGACUCCUACGGGAGGCAGCAGUAGGGAAUCUUCCACAAUGGACGCAAGUCUGAUGGAGCAACGCCGCGUGAGUGAAGAAGGGUUUCGGCUCGUAAAGCUCUGUUGUUGGUGAAGAAGGACAGGGGUAGUAACUGACCUUUGUUUGACGGUAAUCAAUUAGAAAGUCACGGCUAACUACGUG
rnacentral:rRNA from 1 species